ACGAGUUACAUCCUCUCAACUGUUCCUCACGGGCAGCAUCAAAGUUGCCCAUCUUUUGCCCUUCUCCCCUUCCAGCUUUGAAAUCCAGAUUAAGCCUUAUAAACGUUUUCACUUUGAGGUCAUUGGGUCAAGAGAGAGAAAAAAAUCAACUAGUUAUAUAUACAGAUACUGCCCCACUAGUCACUUGCCUUAGUCUUGUGAUUGGGAAUGACUCAACAAAGGCACAAAGCAGGCGCUUUUACAGCCGAACCACAACUAGAACGGCAGAACCCCCACAACCAAACAGAGUUUCCCUGUUUUAUUGCUUUGCUUCUCCCCUCGUUUAGACCGCAAACGGAAUCCAUUCCACAUGUCUAAGCUUUGAAAACCAUAGUUAUCAUCUUCUUUACAAGCUCCAACUGUCAGCUACAUUUAAAAGAAGCAAUGAAGAACGUUUCAAGGAACAAGUUUUUGCUCUGUUUUAGACCCGUUGUUGAUAUGGACGUGAUGCUUGAGUCCAAAGCAGUUGUGGUUGAUCGUUCCCAAAAUCAGGCCUCAACGUAUGUUGGCGUUAAAAACAGGGAGGAUUUUAAGCCUUCAAUGACUAAGUCUUCUGUUUCUGAUACAGAAAAUUCGAUCGUGAUUCAUCGUCCUGGAAAGAAAACAUUUUCCCAAGUGAUCAAAGCUGUUGUGUUCGAGAUCAUAUUGGUUAAGAGGGUUCUAGAUAGGAAAGUUAUUCAUCAAGGGUCAUAUUCAUCAAAGCACAAUUUCCCAUUAAGCUGCCGUGAUAAGUUGUUGGAUGAAAGUCUCGGUAAAUCAGUAAACAAGGCUUUGGCCUGCAAAGAAAUUCAAGAUACUAUUUCCAAGUCCAACUCAGUGUCAUCAGUAUCAUCUUGUUCUUCAUCGUCUUCCCCAAAUUCAACGCAAAACCAAAAGAGGCAAAAGCUGCAAAACAAGAAUACUUACAGCAACCAUCGAGAACGUGAAAUGAACCCUAAAGAUGAACAAAUAGAUAGGGGUUCAAGUUCAAACAGUGCCAUUCCUUUGCUUCUCGUUAGUCUAGCAGUGACAAUCUUCUGGGGCAAAAUUUGUGCGAUAUUCUUCACGUCAAUUUGGCUUUACUUUCUCCCUCAUCAACAACCUGCCGGUGUUAAUGGAAAUCAGGAAAACAUGAAAAGAAUCCCGGAAGCGAAGUCAAGAGAUUACAAAAAAAAAGGUCAUAAUGGAAGGGCUACUUGAAAGGAAUCACAACAGAGGGACAUUAAAUUUUUGACAUGAAAAUUUUAUUUUUCGUGUCUGAUCCCAUAGCCUUUCUGUGAAUUUAUUGCUUUAUUUCUGGGCUGCAACUUUUAGUAGUGCAUUAACGUUCAGUCAGACAAAACGCACGCAUCAGUUUCUUGUGCGGUAAUCUCUUUUUCUUAUACUUGGGGGAGACUUCAGAACCUUCGUUUGUUCCUUGAAUUCUUUCAUGUCCCACUUCCCCUUUUCUUAUUCCUUUUGUUUUUUUUUCUCUUUUGACAAAAGAUAUUGUUACUUUGUUAGAUAAUUCCAAAGAAAACGAAAGCAAUACAAACUAAAUCACAAAAAAUAUGUUCAUUAGAUGAAAAUUCAAUCCCGGGAUUAAUUUAGAUUGCUGGCUUGUUGCUUGUUGACUCAUUUCCAUUAAUUUAAGUUUGUUUAAAUUAAUAUUUUACUGUCUUCUUUUUAUUUUUUAUUUUUUACUUUUUGGGGAGGAAGCAGAUAGAAAAAAUAGACGGAGCUUAGAUAAGAUAUGACUCAAAAAAUAUAUAUGUGACAUGAAUCCUGCUAUAUCAUGAGAAUUCCAAUUUCUAAUGGACAACGUGAGAAAAGAGUUAAGAGAACUUAAGAAGCAUUUUGUAAUGCGCAAGUCGACUACUUUCCCUGCAAUUUAAAUAAGUGUACUGUCUGUGCAGUAUUUGGUUUAUAAGAAGGUAAAGGAAUGUCAUUACAGUUCCCUAAGCUCACGAAGGGAAAGUUAACCAUUUUCUUUCCCCCAAUUGUCCCCCGAUCCCCUUCUUCUUGCCCUAAGCCACUCACUUGUUUCAGAUCUGUUGUUGUUUGUGCUUCAAGAGGAAAGUGGCUAGGUUAUAUGUGGUUGAUAUUCCUAGAUCUGCUAAUCAUCUUGCAUAUCAUCUUACUAAAGGUAUUUUGCAUUUUCUAUUCUCUAUUUCCUUGAAGACGAUGUACUACUGAUGUAUCAUGGGUUUGGACUUUACACUUUUCUAACAAUGUUGUUAAAGAUUUUUUUCUAUUGGUUGAAGGAAAUCUUGCACAUAAUCUAGAUAAGUCAUUGUCCUGAAUAAGUGACAUAGUCUAGAUAAGUUAGAUAGCUUCAUAUUUAACUUUGGCUUCUUUAUAUUUGAAAAUGUUUAUCAACAGAACUUGUAUAUAUCAACAGAAUGCUUAUCAGUAGAACUUGUACAUAAGCCUUUUAUAGAUUUGAGGUGAAUAAAAGUGAACAAUCAAAU